GACGAACGCUGGCGGCGUGCCUAAUACAUGCAAGUAGGACGCAGUUGCGAACGGGUGAGUAACGCGUAGGUAACUACCUAUUAGAGGGGGAUAACUAUUGGAAACGAUAGCUAAUACCGCAUACUAGUAGAUGGACCUGCGUUGUAUUAGCUAGUAGGUAGGGUAAUUGCCUACCUAGGCAAAGAUACAUAGCCGACCUGGUAGGGAUGUCGGCCCCACUGGGACUGGAGCAUGGCCCAGACUCCUACGGGGGGGAGCAGUAGGGAAACUUCGGCAAUUGGGGGAACCCUGACCGAGCAACGCCGCGGGAGUGGAGAAGGUUUUCGGAUCGUAAAGCUCUGUUGUUAAGGAAGCGGUACUUAACCAGAAAGGGACGGCUAACUACGUGCCAGCCGCCGCGGUAAUAC
rnacentral:rRNA from 1 species